rnacentral:lncRNA from 13 species
GUUCAAAGCAAUCAGAGCUAACCAGGCAUGUUAGGUUGAGGGCAUUCUCUCCGGGGGCACAGGAGGGCACAGAACUGCACCGACUCCUGCCCUCAGGGACUUAUGUUCUGGAGGGAGGACUCAGACAUUAAAUCACUAGCACAGUGCCCUCCUUGAAGGCCCAUGAAGUUUCAGGAAGAGCCGAUCACACGACCCAGCGGGCUAUAGAGCACCUCCACGCCUCCGCAGAGCCGACUCCGCUGGUGCCGCACGGCCGCAAGGGAUCAUUUCUUCAUCCAUCUCCUCCCUCUGCCAAGUCAUCAGAAAAUGCUGAGCACCUAUGGAAAAUCCUCAGCACACGCCACCUCUUCUGUCUGGUUUUCAUUUUAUGUUGUGCUGCUUUUUUGGUACAAUAAACAAGGUGAAAGCAAGCUGGCCUAAUGGGAAGGUUGACCUGAUUUCCGCUCUCCUACCAAAAAGUGACAAUGCAGCUCCCGGGCCGAGGAGGGUCGUUGUGUGACCAGUUCAGAGGCAGGAGUUCAGGCCGCUGCACUGACCCUCUGCAAAAGGAAGCAACUGGACAUUUCCUCUACACAUUGUCUCUUUUGAAAAGUUCCAAGUGAGGAAUAUUUGUAUUUGAUUGUUUUUCUUUCCUUGCAUGCCAGCAAAAACUUGCUCAGUUUAAGACAAAUGGAGAAAAAGCCUGGGUUAUUAAAUUUUAGCGGACAAUCAUGUUGAAGCAAAGGAAAGUAACUGCUCACAUCCCCGGCAGCGCUCCCUCUGCCCAGCGCCCAUAACCACCCCAGACCAAGACGUCUGAUCACAGUUUUGGGACACAGAUAUCAGGCUAGGUUGGCUCUCAUGCUUACAACCCUUUAAUGCUCCUUGUGACUUGGGCGGGGGGUCCCUGUCUGGUUGUACCUGGAAAUCACUUGGAAUACUGAUAAAAAUAUUGAGCCUGAGCUUCGAAGACCAACCUGAACCUCCAGAAAUGUUUGUGUGUGUGUGUGUGUGUGUGUGUGUGUGGUGUAUUUGUGUGUGUGGUGUGGGGUGUGUGUGGUAUGUGUGUUUGUGUGCGAUUUGUGUGUGGUGUGUGUGUAUGUGUGUGGUAUGUGAUGUGUGUGGUCCAUGUUUCUGUGUGUGAUGUGUGUAUAUGUGUGUGUGUAUAUGUGUUUAUGUGUGUGUGUGGUGUAUGUGCGUGAUGUGUGUGGUGUGUAUAUGUGUGUUUAUGUGUAUGUGAUUUGUGUAGUGUGUGUAAUAUGUGUGUGUGUGUAGUGUGUGGUGUGUAUGUGUGCACAUGUGUGCUUUGAUUCUUUGAAAAAUUCAGCAAGUGACUCUAAUAUGCUUAGAUAUUUUUUUAAGGACACCAGGUGAUUCUAACAUGCAGCCAGGCUAAUAUCACAGAUGCUGGCCUCAGUCCAUUUGCAGGUGGCUUCUUGCCGCCAGCACCUGUGGCCCUAUCCCGUGUGUGUCUCUGGCUGAGGGAGCAUGCUCAGCCCACGCAGGGGCAGAAAGGGCUGCCGUGGGGUGGACGGCCCAGGAACAGCCUCCACCAGCUCAGGCUGAAGGAUCAAUACCCCGGCUCCCUCACAGCUCAUGCAGACCACCUGACAGGUGCUCCCCACUGUCUCUAGGAAGCCUCUGAUGGGUCUGAGUUCAGGGGCCAGGGAAACCUGACUGCCUGCACUCCCUCUUGUGGCUUCCUUCCCUUCCCCGUCACUCGUCCCCAGGCUCCUCACUAAGCUUCUUGGGAUCCACCCAAAUAAACGCGUGGCACUCAGUGCUCA